UACGGGGGGGGCAAGCGUUGUUCGGAAUUACUGGGCGUAAAGGGCUCGUAGGCGGCCAACUAAGUCGGACGUGAAAUCCCUCGGCUUAACCGGGGAACUGCGUCUGAUACUGGAGGGCUUGAGGUUGGGAGAGGGAUGCGGAAUUCCAGGUGUAGCGGUGAAAUGCGUAGAUAUCUGGAGGAACACCGGUGGCGAAGGCGGCAUCCUGGACCAAUUCUGACGCUGAGGAGCGAAAGCCAGGGGAGCAAACGGG
rnacentral:rRNA from 1 species